CUUCAGUAUCUGUAAGCACAUAACUAAACUUAUAAUAUUCCCAAACAUGGUUGUAAAUAACUACUGAAGGUUGUCUUAAUGGUAGGGAUGACAAUUGCAAACUAAAGAUCCUUACAAUAAAUGAGUUUGUUUAACUGGCUAGCUAGUUAAAGUUAUCACCUACCAUACCCACCUGCCACAUACAUAUCACUAUCUCAUCAUAUGGGGCUCUGAUAGAUGAGUGUUAAAUUGCACAUGAGCACAGCAAACAUAUAUAGGAUUUCUAUGCGAAAGUUUUUGUUAUUUUGUUUCUCAUGGAAGCAAUGUGUAACACUUACUAACUGCAAGAGCUGGUUGGUUUGUGAAUACGUACUGUGAAGGGAACUGUACAUGAAUAAGCUGG
rnacentral:misc_RNA from 1 species